UGGGGAAUUUUGGACAAUGGGCGAAAGCCUGGUCCAGCAAUGCCGCGUGUGUGAAGAAGGCCUUCGGGUUGUAAAGCACUUUUGUCCGGAAAGAAAUCCUUGGCUCUAAUACAGUCGGGGGAUGACGGUACCGGAAGAAUAAGCACCGGCUAACUACGUGCCAGCAGCCGCGGUAAUACGUAGGGUGCAAGCGUUAAUCGGAAUUACUGGGCGUAAAGCGUGCGCAGGCGGUUUGCUAAGACCGAUGUGAAAUCCCCGGGCUCAACCUGGGAACUGCAUUGGUGACUGGCAGGCUAGAGUAUGGCAGAGGGGGGUAGAAUUCCACGUGUAGCAGUGAAAUGCGUAGAGAUGUGGAGGAAUACCGAUGGCGAAGGCAGCCCCCUGGGCCAAUACUGACGCUCAUGCACGAAAGCGUGGGGAGCAAACAGGAUUAGAUACCCUGGUAGUCCACGCCCUAAAACGAUGUCAACUAGUUGUUGGGGAUUCAUUUCCUUAGUAACGUAGCUAACGCGUGAAGUUGACCGCCUGGGGAGUACGGUCGCAAGAUUAAAACUCAAAUGAAUUGACGGGGUCAUAGCUG
rnacentral:rRNA from 1 species